CCUACGGGAGGCAGCAGUGAGGAAUAUUGGUCAAUGGGCGCGAGCCUGAACCAGCCAAGUAGCGUGAAGGAUGACUGCCCUACGGGUUGUAAACUUCUUUUAUAAAGGAAUAAAGUGAGGCACGUGUGCCUUUUUGUAUGUACUUUAUGAAUAAGGAUCGGCUACCUCCUUGCCAGCAGCCGCGGUAAUCCGGAGGAUCCGAGCGUUUUCCGGAUUUUUUGGGUUUAAAGGGAGCGUAGGUGGGUUGUUAAGUCAGUUGUGAAAGUUUGCGGCUCAACCGUAAAAUUGCAAUUGAAACUGGCAGCCUUGAGUACAGUUGAGGUAGGCGGAAUUCGUGGUGUAGCGGUGAAAUGCUUAGAUAUCACGAAGAACUCCGAUUGCGAAGGCAGCUUACUAAACUGCCACUGACACUGAUGCUCGAAAGUGUGGGUAUCAAACAGGAUUAGAUACCCCUGUAGUC
rnacentral:rRNA from 1 species